rnacentral:lncRNA from 1 species
UGUAUUGGGGUUUGGUGUAAGAUAUUAUUUAAAUAAAGACAUUUGUGGGGCGCCUGGGUUGCUCAGUGAUUGAGCGUCUGCCUUUGGCUCAGGUGGGGAUCCCAGGGUCCUGGGAUCAGCUCCCCACAGGGAGCCUGCUUCUCCCUCUGCCUAUGUUUUUGCCCCUCUCUCUGUGUCUCUCAUGAAUAAAUGAAUAAAAUCUUUAAAAAAAAUAAAGACAUUUGCAACUUAAAAAUUGUUUGAAAUCGACUUCUUAAGUCUUAUACCAGUGGGGAAACAGAGUCUCAAAAAGGGCAAGUGACUCGCUCAAGGCUGCACAGCCAAUUCAGUGGAAGAGGUGGAGCUCAGAAGUUGGGCCUCUGGAGAGGGCACUUUCUAUUACUUCUGUUAUCUGGGUCUGAACCCUGGGAGGUUUUGGAAGGGGGUGUGAGGCCCACAGUCAGUACGGGGCCAUAGCUGCUGGAGCCCCGGGUUCCCACACUGCAGCUCACUCGGCCUGAGCAACUUUGCCCUCUCGUGUACACACCAUGGACUUUCUGGGUGUAGCUUCUCCCUCCUUUAUAAAGCCACCCCCUGCUUACUAGAGCCAGCAGUGCAUCCUCUCCUUUGGAGAAAUGCUCUCCUGAAGACCUCCUAGCCCUCUCUGCAAGGAGAGAACACUAGACCAAGGUGGUCAAUAGCACGGGCUUUGAAAUAAGAGCCAGGGUCAGAUCAAAUUUCUUAACAUAUCAGAACCCCGGUGUUUGCAUCUUUCAAAAGGCAAUAGUAAUGGCAUCUUAGGAUUAUUAGAAGGCUUGCAUUGCCUAUCAUGCUCAGUAGCACAUGCCUAGCCCCCUGACAUGGGGCCCUUCUGGGGGUACAGGGAUCCAAGGCAGUGACUCUCAGCCUGUGGAUCACAAUCACCUGGAGGGCUUGUUAAAACCCGGAUGGCUUGUUCGCACACACCCACCCCCAGAGUUUCUGAUUCAGUAGGUCCGAGGUAGAGCCUGAGACUUUGCAUUUCUAAUAAGUUCCCAAGGGAUGUGGUGCUGCCCAUGGUGAGAUUACUCCUGAGAGCCUGUGUCUUAGACAAGGUGAUUGUUGUGGGAGGAGCAAGAACCAAAGACCAUAUAUAGGCUCGAUGUGUAGACAGUCCAGAUGGUGAGAUGCAGACCCAGAAGGAGGUCUGUACUGCAGACUGCAGGUCAGCUGACUUCACAUACCUGGGGGGCCAGCUGCUCUCCCUUGAGCUCCAUCACAUGCACUAAGAUUCAAAGUCCAGUGAAGAAGCAGCCAACCAAGAACUUCUUCCCCUUCUUCUGUCCCACUCCUGUUUCUUCCAGCAGAGUGCCUUCUGGCCUCUGGAUGUGCUGAAAUGGGGCGAAUCCUGAAAGGUUAAAGGAGGUAAGCAAGAAAACAGAAAAGCAAAUAGAGAUGAAGCCAAAAUCAGCAUUUCUAGGUUUGGAAUCCGUCCCAUAGUUUCUCAGAGACAGCUGCCAUCCUGGGAGCUUUAUGGGUGCCCAAUACUUUACAAUGAUGCCAUGAAAAUGGAUUCUCUAUCUGCUACACAACAAAAUCCAUAGACUUCAGCCUGGCAUUCAGACCCUGUAUGAGUCCAGCUCCCACCUGUCCUGCCCAACCAUUAAACACCUAGCUCUCCUUACCCCCUGAAUUUUCUUCCUAUAUUUUGGCUCUCUCAAUUCCUUCCAGCUGAACUGUCCUCCCUCUGAGAAGGCCCUCACAAUAGCCAUCUCUGUUUUUGGCGUUCGAAAUCAAGGGUUGGCAAAUGACAGCCUAUGGACCAAAUGCUUCAGUCCAUUACCUAUUUUUGUAAAUAAAGUUUUAUUGGAACAUAAACUCACCCCUUCAUUUCUGAAUCAUCUUUGUCUGGUUUUGUGCUGUGGUGACACCCUUGAGUAGUUACAACAGAGACCACCUGGUGUGCAAAAUCUAAACUAUUUGUUAUCUGGCUCCUUAGAGGAAAAGAUUUGUUGGCCCCUGUUCCAAAUGCAAUAUCGUUUUUUUCAGUGAAACCUUACCGGAUCCCACCAACUUACAUUCGUUUCACUUUCCCCUGACACCUUCUAGUUCUUUGCUCUACGAUGAUGUUACUUGUCAUAAUGGUUUUCUGCGUAUUUUUUUUUCUUCUUGAAUCUAUAGGUCUACACUGCAGUCUCUUUGAGAUCUCAGAGUUUAGUUCCAGGACCUAUAAAGGUAAUAUUAAAAGACAUUCCUUAAAGACAUUCAUAAAGCCCCCAAUGUGGGAAGCAACCGAAAUGUCCAAGAGUAGAAAAAGGGAUCAAAUAAACCGUGGCAUAUGAUGUAUUGCUGUGUAGUAGAUAAAAUCCAUUCUUUGAGACUGGAGAGAAAUUGUCCACCCCAUAAAGUUUUUAGAAAAGAUUCUAGGGGAGCCUGGGUGGAUCAGUGGUUGAGCGUCUGCCUUUGGUUCAGGUUGUGAUCCUGGAGUCCUGGGAUCGAGUCCCGUGUCAGGCUCCCUGUGGGGAGCCUGCUUCUCCCUCUGCCUCUUUCUGUGUCUCUAAUAAAAUCUUUAAAAGAAAAGAAAAGAUUCUAUCAGUGUAUACAAUACAAUCCUACUUUGUAAGUAGGUAAAUAAAUAUGUUGACAAAUUAAUUAAGAAGACUAGAAGGAAAUAUACAAAAUUUUUAUUCCUCUCUGGGUAGAGGGUUAUGGGUGACUUUCAUUUUGUUACUUUAUUAGUUUAUAUAUUUUUCAUAUGAAGGACCUAUAUUGCUUAGAACCGGAGGGAAAAACAAGUUAUUAAAACACUAGCAGCUGGCUCUGUCCGGGCUUCAGCACAUCCUAGCACUCUAACCUUGAAAAGUCAGCUAGCCUCAGUUUCCUGAACUGUAAAAUAUGGAGUCAUACAGCUUCCUUUGCUGGGUGGUUUGACUAAAUGUGGAAAUCAGCCAGUUGUCUGCAAAAUGCCCUUGUCCCCAGUGGGCUCCUGCAGCAGCUGGGUCCUGGCAGUGAAUAGGGAGUAUCUGGGAGCCCCCAGAGACUAUUGGCCCCCUAAGGUGGAAGCAGAGCUAGGAUGCAACAGAGUGGCACUGGGCUAGGUGUGUGGCAUGGUCCAGCACAGUCCACGCUCUUGGAGACUGGGCACCAGGAUGGCUACCCUGGGAGGGGCCUCACCCCUAAGCCCCAGCUUCAUUGGCCCAAUGCAUGGUGGCUUCUGUGCUUCAUUUUCACCCUGCACUAGCUGGAGUGGCCCAGCUGGAGUGGCCUGGUGCCUGCCCUUCCACGCCUCCCACCCUGUCCUGUUUUCUCACUGUCUCUCUGCGGUCUCUGCCUGCGGUCUUCUUGUUCCUUAAAAGUCACACCUUCAUACUUCCACUGAGGUUUAGUUGUUAUUUUCUGGCCAGAGUCUUUCUGCUCCUUUCUCUCUUCCCUGACUUGCUGGAAAAAAAAAAAGAUAUCUUUGCUUGAGACUCUAAGCAAUGAUUUUCGGCUCCUUUCUUUUUUCUUUUUUUUUUCUUUUUAAAGAUUUUAUUUAUUUAUUCAUGAGAGACACAGAGAGAGAGGCAGAGGCACAGGCAGAGGGAGAAGCAGGCUCCAAGCAGGGAGCCCGACACGGGAGGGACUCGAUUCUGAGGCUCCAGGAUCACGCCCUGGGCUGAAGGCAGCGCUAAACCGCUGAGCCACCCGGGCUGCCCGGCUCCUUUCUUGCUUCUCUUCUUCUUCCUCGUCUUCUGUAAACAUCCUUAUUGUUAAUCCUUACCCCUGAUUAUCAACGUAAGGUUAGAGGAGGCAAGAGUAGAUGAAGGAGAUCAGUUAAGGGGUGGGUAAGCUGGUCUCAGGAGGCGGCACUGCACACAGGGAGAAGCAGAUGGGCUGGGAUAGAAAGAAUAGUCCCCGUGGGAGUUACAUCUGGGGAAGAUGAGGCCCAGAGAGAGGCUGUGACAUGCUCCAAGGUUGUGCAUCAACCAAGUGAUGGAUCAGGCAGUCCUGGUCCAUGUUCUCUUAGUUCCUGGCUCUGUCCUGAUACCUGGACACCUCACUUCCACCACCCCACCUCCCUAUGCUGUGUGCCCUCCAGGAGUGCAGAGAUGUUGAUCUAAUCCCAGGUCACCACCCUGGAUGGUGCAUCGAACAAUUUGUGCGCGCCUAAAAAGCCAAGAGGAUACCUACUGACUUCUGAGAAGUGUGUCACACAUGCCUUUGGCUUCAGAACUUAGAGUUUUGGGGAAUCUGUUGAGGAUGGGGCCACAGAAUUAGAAGGGCCUAUUUUGGUCUGGGAGCGGUGGGCAUAAAAGUCACUAAUUAUCAGCUCCAUGAAAGUGGAACAGCGGACUCUGCCUCUGUGGUGCCAUCCCCAGGCUUCUCAGGGAUUUAUAGUCCCUAGCCCGAGUGAAUGCCUGUAGAAGAGAGUAAGGUAUCCUUCACGGGUUAGUCAAUGAACUAGUACAAGUGUAGACUGGCAUUUACUGAGCACAAACUGUUUUGGUUUGUGAACUGCUUGAGUCUGUGAUGACCAGGGAUGUUCCUGGUCUUGCUUUCUUUGAUGUGUGGUAGUGGUGGGGGCGGUGGUCAGCAAUCCCUCAGGAGCAAGUAUCCUCCCUCCCUCCUCCAUACCUCUGUGCCAUGCAAGACUUCGAAGCCUAGGGAAUUCUCUUCCAGCUCUUGCUUUCCUGGUAGAGACUUGGAAGCUCCCCCUGGAUGUGGCUACAGAGAGGCUAAGACUUACCUCUGACUUCUGAUUUAACCUCACUUCCUGGACCUUGAGGGUUAACCUCCUCUGGGUUUUUAGAAGAUAAGGUAAGCUACCUAUGGCUCCAGAGAGUGGGAGAAUCACAUACCUGAGUGGAUGGAGGUCUGAAAGGUAUCCAGCAGAUCCUGCAUUGGCUUUGAAUCUCUCCCACACCCUGACAUCUCCUCUCUGCAGAAGCUUUCAGGUUCUGCUUUCUUGGGUAGGCCUGAACAAAGGAGUGUUUUUAAGAGUACCUCCCAGGGGGUCAUCACUUUUCCUCUGUGGUCACAAUAGUUUGCUCACCGAUUUAGCUUAGAUAGAGAUUAUGAACAGGCAUUGAAGAAAUUAUGCCAACCAAAGGGGGAAAUCGCUUCGCAAACUUUCCCCAUCUCAAGCUUCUUAUGCAAAAAGUGUGUCCAAAUUACACAGGUGUCACAUGUCAGAUAUUUUUCCUUAUAGCUCAGGCAUUACAUCCUAUUCGGGCAGUACGCUUAUUAUGGGCCAAGCGUGUAGUUCACUGGCACUUAGUCCUGUUAAUUGAAUUUCAUUAUUGCCCUUGAAGACAUUUGGAGAUUGAGUCCCAGAGAGAUUCAGUAAUUUGACCUGAGGUCGAAGAGAUGGUUUAGUCAUGUUGGGCUUUAGGCCUAGAUCAUUCUUACUUCAAAGCCCCUGCUUUUCCUACUUUUGAAGCCUUUCUUUGUUCUCCUGGCAUUCUACAGAAUGGUUUCCCAGCUUCUGCUUGAAGACCUACUACAUAGAGUGUGUUCCUACCUCCCCAGAUGGCCUGGGAAUGACUGGCUGUUUUGCUUAGGCCCACUGAUGAGUGGUUAGUCUUCCCUCCUUCUUCUUCUCUCAUCUCCUCUCACUUGACUUCUAGUACCUCUGCCUAGAUGGAGCUCCUCCCUUCCAACCCCCUGCCUGGCUUCACUCAAGAAGGGGCCAGCUCAGUGGCCCAGCUGGAGGAUGCCCGUGAAUCCUCAUGCAGAAGCCCUAGGCUGGGAGUUACUUUCUCCUUUCCUGAGCUAACCAGGCAGUGAUGUCUCAGAAUUAAAAAAAAAAAAAAAAAAGAAAAA